rnacentral:lncRNA from 1 species
CCAUGUGCACCAGCUCGAGUAUCCCCUUGGAUCUGAUCUCAGAAAUUUGUUUGUGCUGAACCUUAACUUGUUUGCCUUGAUAACAUCCUCCACACAGUGUCUGUUUGUUUCUCUAGUUCUGGAAUUCCCCUAACAGCUUCAGCAUUUACCAGUAUGGUCAAACCAUUAGUAUUCAUGUGUCCAAGUUUCUUGUGCCAAAGAUCCAACUUAGACUCUUUAGCAGAGUAACACAAGUGUGAAGGCUUCCAUAUAUAACAAUUGUUUCCAGAUUGCACUCCGCAUAGAACCACCUUUCCUUUUGUGUCGACUGCUCGACAUUCUUUGCCGUUGAAGAUAACUUCUAAUCCC